AAAUUCAUUAUACAUUUCGAUAACGUAAGUUUAGAGGUUAUAAAUUCGACUUCCCCAAUUUUGAAUUCAAAAGUGGCACCAAAUAUAAUUUAUUUGAUUGUAUUACCAACUUUUUAUCAACUUUAUUACAUUUUCAUUAUUUAUAACCAACAAACAGGGUUUUCUAGAUGCUUUUGGAUGAAAUUUUUUGUAUAUUUCUCUUUAAAAAUAACAUAAGUUUAGAUGCAAUAAAGUUCGACUUGCCCAAUUUGAAUUGAGAAGUGUCACCAGAAAUAAUUCAUUUGAUUAAAUUAACAACUUUAAAUCAACAUUAUUAUGUUCUCAUUGUAUAUAGCCAAUUAAAAGGUUUUUAUAGACGCUUUAGGACGAAAUUCCAUUUACAUUUCGAUAACGUAAGUUUGGAGGCUAUAAAUUAGACUUCCCCAAUUUUGAAUUCAAAACUGGCACCAAAUAUAAUUUAUUUGAUUAUAUUGGCAACUUUUCAUCAACCUUAUUUCAUUUUCAUUAUUUAUAACUAACUAACAGGUUUUUAUAGAUGGUUUUAGAUGAAAUUAUUUGUAUACUACUCUUUAAAAAUAACAUAAGUAUAGAUGCAAUAAAGUUCGACUUGCCCAAUUUGAAUUGAGAAGUGUCUCCAGAAAUAAUUCAUUUGAUUAAAUUAGCAACUUGAUAUCAACAUUAUUAUGUUCUCACUCUAUAUAGCCAAAUAAAAGGUUUUUAUGGACGCUUUUGGACGAAAUUCAUUAUACAUUUCGAUAACAUAAGUUUAGAGGCCAUAAUUUCGACUUCCCCAAUUUUGAAUUCAAAAUGGCAACAAAUAUAGUUUAUUUGAUUAUAUUAGCAAGUUUUUAUCUACAUUAUUACGUUCUCAUUAUUUAUAACUAACUAAUAGGUUUUUCUAGAUGCUUUUUGUCACACCCCGAAAACCGAAGGCGGAAACAUUUUCGGGUUUGACUCCACGUUGAGUAUCAAAUCCAAUGUACAUAUUAAGUAAAGUGAAACAAACAUUACAUUACAUAUUAAAAGUUUUACAAUUUGUUUCAAAAGACAUAGUUUAUACAGUUGUGAUACAUAAUAUAGAUAUUAACAAAAUGAGCGAGCCUUGCACGCACACGAUCCUGAACCAAGUAAGUCUUCGGGUACCUGUACUAUCGUUGACCUGAGAACACAAGCGGUUUGAAAAUCAGCAUAACGCUGGUGAGUUCAUAAGCAGUUUUGUUUUGUGAAAAUGUUUAUAUUUCCUUUCUGUUUCUGAAAAUGUAACACACACCAAGAAAAUCCCAUAUUUUCUUAAAGUUGGUUGUUGUUUCAUAAGAGUAAUGUAUGGUAUAGUUAUCCGGUACAUUGUUUAAUGUCUUUAAUGUAUUAGUGUAUUCCCAAGAAAGUCCCAUACUUUCCUGAAGUGUAGUUAUUGUAAAAGAUGUAAUGUUAUUCAGUUGGUUACUCUUGUCUGAUUAUGUGUAGGUUACCCAGGAAUGCCCCAUGCUUUCCUGUAUGUUUGUUUUCAAUGUAAAAGAUGUAUUCUGUUAGACCUGGUUGUGUACAAGAUUUCCCAGGAAGGUCCCAUACCUUCCUGAAGGUUGGUUAAAAUAUGUAAAAGAUGUAAAAGAUGUAAAAGAUGUAAACUGAAUCCUGGUUAUCUGUAAAAUGUAGUAUAUAGUUCAUUAUUACUAUAAGUAAAUCUCUGUUAUCCUAAUUGCGAGUUCCAUAACCAUACUAAAGACUGAACCUGUGGCAAUAAGUAGUCCACAACCUUGUGGCAAUAAGUAGUCCACAAUUCUUAUGACUUUCGUCACCCUUGAACCAUUUCGGUUCGGCUGUAGCUAGCAGCCAGGUGUGGGGUAGUCAGCCCCGUAUAGAUCUAUACACUCAAGUCACGCUCUCUAAAUCCCAGAGAUUCUGGUUACGGGUGUAGUCCUCCACUCGCGUAUCUCUGUGGAGUGUUCGCCGAGGACGUGUCUCCAAUCAUACGGAAUAACAAAUUUACUAGUAAUAAUAGGAUAAUCCUCCAUUCGCGUACCUCUGUGGAAUGUUACCGAGGACAAGACUGUGUACGAAUUAUAUUGUUUAUGUAUUAUAAUGUCAUGCUUUUAACUGAUAAAAUAUGGAAACCAUUUGUGAAAUAUACUAAACAUAACCGUUUAUAAAUCCAUUUCACAAAUAACUGUUUAAUUGAGCUGUAUAUUCUACUGGUUAUCAGUUACGUGUAUCAGUAUUAAAAGCAUAAGAAAUGUGAAACACACACACGAAAAAUAAUUUUGAGUACAAGAAAACCCUUGUACUUUGCUUGUGUUCCCCCCUGAAAACAGUGAAAAAUAGUGAAAAAGGUAGGGGUAUGAACUCACCGGACUCGGAAAUGUGUCGGUUUUGGAUACUAGAUGUUGAUCCGGGGAUUGUUUACUUGCGAUGCCCUAUGUAAAAUGAAAUAAUGUCCAUAUAUAUACAAUUAGGGAUACAUUCACUAAUCAUAUGGAACAUUACACUCCAACGAGGUUAACACCUCGAAAUGAGCGUUUGGAGUGACCCGGGUGACAUCUUCGGACAUGUAAUGGCACUAGGGACUUGGGACUUGAUUUUACUCUCCAAAAGUAAACAUUUAAAAGAGUUUACAACCAUUGAACACACACCUACAUGAGUUUACGGCCGUAAACUCAUGUGGGUGUGGUUUUGGGUGUUUAAAUGGCUUAAAUGGACAUGGGGAUUGUUGGAAUGGAUUUCUAAAAUGCCUUGGAAUUAAUUGAAUGAAAUUAUAACACUUAAAAGGGAGUUUACGGCCACCCCAUAAGAGUUUACGGCCGUAAACUCACCUAUGGCCUAGGAAAAUUGAUUUGAGCUUCAUAGGACAAUCACAUGUGAUUCUAACUAAUUUUCCAAGCCUUGUUAUGAAUUUAGAACAUCAUUUAACACAUUUAUUGGAGUUUACGGCCUAGAGGUAUGUUCUAAGGCCGUAAACUCUCCUUUACCCAUGAAAAAGAUAGUUUUUGAUGCUUAAAACAAUCACAUGCGAUUAAUAGGAUUUUUCCAAGACCUAACAUGAGUUUUGUGGGACAUUUGAGAGGAGUUAUGGAGUUUACGGCCCAUGAGACCCUCCUCAUGGCCGUAAACUCUUCUAUAGGGUGAUAUAAUGUGUUUCAAGGUCUAAAACUUGCAUAGAAGGGCUUCUAAAAUUCAUCUAUAGGCUUUAGGGGUGUUUAGUUUGCAUUCUAACACCAAAAUUUUUAGAGUUUACGGCCCAAAAACAAGCCUUGGCCGUAAACUCUUAGAAAUCCCACAAAUGAUGUGAUUAAGUCCCUUAAAAUAUUUUUGGUUGGUCCUUUGAUUUAUUCCAAGGCUUUUGGUAGUGUUGGAUGGCUUUCUAAUACCUUAGAAAUGAAUUUAUGCCUUGUUUUGGGGAGUUUACGGCCCAAGCACUCACCUUGGCCGUAAACUCACAUAAGUCCCUCAAAAGUUAUGUUUCAAGUGUCCAAAUNCUCCAAAUCAUUUUUAGAUGAAUCUAGGAUUUACCACAAGGCCAUUGGUUGAGUUUCAAAGCAUUUGGACAUGUUUAAAGGCACUAAAUCCCCAUUAAAGAGGAGUUUACGGCCCAAGAACAUACCUUGGCCGUAAACUCUCUUUUGUCCCUCAUAAUUCAUGUUUUAAUUGUUUUAAGUCUAGAUUUGCAAGCCUUAUAGUCAUAUCUAAGUCCCAACUUUGAUUUGGAAGGGUAAUUUGGCUUAAAAACCCCAUUUAAUGGAGUUUACGGCCCAAGCUUGCUCCUUGGCCGUAAACUCAUGUUCUUGGUCCCAAAACUCAAUUAAUUCAUCAAUUUGAAGGCUAAAGAUGUUGAAUAAUAUGCUAGGGAGGUUACCUUAAAGAUUUGAAGCCUUAAACUUGAGAUUUGGACCUUAAUUCUAGCUUGAGGAGAGAGGUUGUGAGAGUUUAGUGAGAAAUUGGCCAAAGGCUUCAAAUGGAGUCUUAAACAUGUUUAUAUAGUGUUCAGGAAUUGGACACGAUAGAAUUCUACCCGAUACCGAUGUUAAGUGAGGCUUUUAGUCGUACCAGAUUGAGUUACCGUAACCCGAUACGGUAAUUUCUAGAAAUAUUCUGAUCACUAAAGUAGGGUGUUAAAAUGAUUUUCUAAAUGUAUUAAGACACCCAUUAAGUCAUUUUAGGUCAAUAUAAACUAAUGACUUAAUACAAUGGCGAAAUUGGAAACAAAUUGAAGAUGACGUCUGGUUGAUCGGAUUGGAUUACAAGUUGUGGUACAAGAAGUGACAUGAAAUUUCGGGUUGUUACACUUUUGGAUGAAAUUAUUUGUAUAUUUCUCUUUAAAGAUAACAUAAUUUUAGAUGCAAUAAAGUACGACUUGCCUAAUUUGAAUUGAGAAGUGUCAACAGAAAUAAUUCAUUUGAUAAAAUUAGAAACUUUAUAUCAACAUUAUUAUGUUCACUUUCUAUAUAGCCAGUUAACAGGUUUUUAUAGACGCUUUUGGACGAAAUUCAUUAUACAUUUCGAUAACGUAAGUUUAGAGGCUAUAAAUUAGACUUCCCCAAUUUUGAAUUCAGAACUCACACCAAAUAUAAUUUAUUUGAUUAUAUUAGCAACUUUUUAUCAACCUUAUUUCGUUUUCAUUAUUUAUAACUAACUAACAGGUUUUUCUAGAUGCUUAUGGAUGAAAUUAUUUGUAUAUUUCUCUUUAAAAAUAACAUAAGUUUAGAUACAAUAAGGUUCGACUUGCCCAAUUUGAAUUGAGAAGUGUCAACGGAAAUAAUUCUUUUGAUUAAAUUAGCAACUUUAUAUCAACAUUAUUAUGUUCUCACUCUAUAUAGCCAAAUAAAAGGUUUUUGUAGACGCUUUUGGACAAAAGUCAUUAUACAUUUCGAUAACAUAAGUUUAGAAGCCAUAAAUUCGACUUCCCCAAUUUUGAAUUCAAAACUGGCGCCAAAUAUAGUUUAUUUGAUUAUAUUAGCAACUUUUUAUCCACAUUAUUACGUUCUCAUUAUUUAUAACUAACAAAUAGGUUUUUCUAGACGCUUUUGGAUGAAAUUAUUUGUAUAUUUCUCUUUAAAAAUAACAUAAGUUUAGAUGCAAUAAAGUUCAACUUGCCCAAUUUGAAUUGAGAAGUGUCAACAGAAAUAAUUCAUUUGAUUAAAUUUGCAACUUUAUAUCAACAUUAUUAUGUUCUCAUUCUAUAUAGCCAAUUAAAAGGUUUUUAUAGACGCUUUUGGACGAAAUUCAUUAUAAAUUUCGAUAACAUAAGUUUAGAGGCUAUAAAUUCGACUUCCCCAAUUUUGAAUUCAAAAGUGGCACCAAAUAUAACUUAUUUGAUUGUAUUAACAACUUUUUAUCGAAUUUAUUACGUUUUCAUUAUUUAUAACUAACAAACAGGUUUUUCUAGACGCUUUUGGAUGAAAUUAUUUGUAUAUUUCUCUUUAAAAAUAACAUAAGUUUAGAUGCAAUAAAGUUCGACUUGCCCAAUUUGAAUUGAGAAGUGUCAACAGAAAUAAUUCAUUUGAUUAAAUUAGCAACUUUAUAUCAACAUUAUUAUGUUCUCUUUCUAUAUAGCCAAUUAAAAGGUUUUUAUAGAUGCUUUUGGACGAAAUUCAUUAUACAUUUCGAUAACGUAAGUUUAGAGGCUAUAAAUUCGACUUCCCCAAUUUUGAAUUCAAAAGUGGCACCAAAUAUAA
rnacentral:lncRNA from 1 species